AUGCAGCUCAACAGAGCUUUUGCAUUCCUUUGCCUGGUGAUUUCAGUGGGUGCGCAGAGGAGUCACAGACUGACGUGCUAUCUGGAUGUUUUAACACAGCACACACAUGAAGGGCCGUGCUCUCACAUCAUCCUCCCCUUGACCUCCACUGAUGGCGACCUUUACCUCCAAAGCUUGUCGGAUGAUGACAGCGUUACUCUUAGAAAAAUGAAGGAGAGAAAUCCAGCUUUGAAGAUUUUGCUUGGAUUGGAAGUCAGAUCAUCAAGGUUGGAGCUGAUGUCUGCUAAUGAAGCCAGCAUUGAGAAUUUUGUUCAAACAGUAUUGACAUACUUAAAAGACAAGACUUUAGACGGCCUAGACGUGACUUGGCUGGAUGGCCCUACUUCUGAUGAAUCUAGCAGAAGCACAGAGCUACUCACAAAUUUUCUGAAGAGACUAAAAGGCGCAUUUAAAAAAGAAACACAGCCUCUACUUCUGUCAGUGUCUGCACUAGGGCCUGUUGACCACAGUGCGGUCACUGAUGAACGAACACUUUCACAGUAUGUGGACUUCAUUUCCAUUCUGCCUCCUCAGCUCAAAAAAGAUGGACCAUAUAUGGACCAGCAAGUUGACCUACAAAAGCUCAAUCUAGCUAUGCCUGCUUUUCUACGCCGGUCACGAGGAAGGCAUCACCAUGGGGAUCACUUCAAGCAUGAUGACAUGAAUACAGAGACAGGAAAGAAGGAUCACAUCCAUGUUUUGGGCUUAUACCUGGGCGAUCAGGUGUGUCAGGCCAUUAAAAGUGGACAAGAGCGAUUCAUUACUUUAACAAGUCUCUCAGAUGAGCAAACUCUUGUUGCGGAGGUGCUCCAGAAAGGCUUUGGUGGCAUAGCGGUUGUCUUCAUAGAUCUGGACGUCUUCUAUAACUCCAUAUGUGCACACCUUACUCAGGAUGAACAAGUGAUUGUUGAAUCAAAGGUGAUUUUGCAUUCACAUCAUGGACACAGACAUCAUGAGCAUGGUGGUCAUCAUCACAGCAAGAACCAUCACCACAGCCGCCACCACCAUCAUCACUCUCUUCUUCCUUAUGGCAGCCAUGGUCACCAACUCCAUGGUCACUAUCACCAUGGACAUCAUCAACAUGGACAUGGGCAUCAUCACCAUGGACAUCAUCACCAUGGACAUCAUCACCAUGGUCGCCGUCAUCACCAUCACCACCACCAUCUUCCAAUAAUUCCUCAAAGCAACAUAACCAUGGAAGAACGGCAUGGUGUGGAGUGAUCUUAAUAUGUUAUACAUAAAUUUCAUCUGAUGAAUGUUAAUGAGGGACGUCCUAGAAAUUUGGUGUUUUAAGCUUGCCAGGUUCCUUUAUAUAUAUAUAUCCCAAGCUCUUAUAUAUAUAUAUAAUCAUACAUUUUCCACACGAAGUUCUUAUUAGUUUAGUAAAUCUGAAUGUUGUUUCUUUGAUUCCUAUUUUUGUCUUAUAAUAAUAUAAUAAUUGUGGAGGUAAUGUUAAAAAUUAUGGUAAAUGAUAAAUAAUUUACCAUUUAAAUGCAUAUAAAUACUAUAUAUAAUGUAUAAAUACAAUAUGAUACAUAUUUUUAAUUAGAUUAAUGAGAAUUAGACUUUUUGCAUUAUAGCGUUGGCAAUGAUAUUGCAGUAUAGUAAUGUGAAUACAUUUUUUGUAAUACUGCAAUGAGAAUAAUAUCUUAUUUUCUGCAUUGUAGUACUGAGAAUUAAGAUUUCUUUGCAUUCCAAUAAUUUGGACUAAUUUCGUUUUGCACUAUGGUAAUGAGGUUUUUGUUUUGCAUGAAGUUUUCACAUUUUUACUAAUUGCUUGUUAUGAGAACUUCACAAAUCAUAUGAUUUUUUUCAGUGUUAAAACAAGCUUAUUGUGUGUCAGAGCAGAUCGAUGCAGCAUUAUGAAAUAAAUAUGUAGCCUAAAAGUUUCA
ensembl:lncRNA